CAUGGAUAAAAUGUUAAAAUUUGACAUUUAAAGAACAUUUUUUGUCCCGUGAACAGGCGAGAAGAUUUUCCCCCAACCUCCCGCCAAGUUGGGUACAGUUAAAAUUACACUGAAUAAAAAUAUAUAGAUAAAUAGAAAAUACUCCAUAAAAAACUCUCAUUCACAUAUUUCUAUUACGAAGCCUUGCGAAAAGUAUAUAGGUUUAAAAAAAAAACAAAAAAACGAACGCAGACGAAGCCUCAAACAGAAACGAAGAGGGAGCGACAAAGAAGAGGGGAGCAGCGACCAACGACCGGCGAUCAGCGAGCAGUGAGCGGCGACCAGAGGGGAGCGAUCUGCGAGCAGCGACUGACGAAGACCAGCGACCUGCGAGCAACGACCGACGAAGCAGCGAUCGGCGAGCAGAGACCUGCGAGCAGCGACCGGCGAGCAGCGACCGACGAAGACUAGCGACCGGCGAUCAGCCACGAAGAUCAGCGACCAGUUCUACCAGCGAACGAGCAAGGACGAAGUUACUUGCUUGGAUUUUAUACCAUGGACAGUGAGAUGGUUUUUUGACAAGUGCAGACUGAAAUCCAAGUGUUAGAAGGUUCAUCAAUUUUUCAAUAGAAGUGCUAGGAAAUUAAUGAUUUUCUUGACAAAUGGACUUAGUUGUUUUGGAACAUGGAUAAAUGUUGAAUUGUUUUGGCACAUUGAUAAAUGAUGAAUUGUAAAAAUGUUUUAACUCUUUUGAUAUGUUUAAUUGGGUAUUUCAAGAGUUUGUUUUGGUUAUA